GUGUGCUGCCUAAUUAACUUUCUUCUCUCUCAUAUCAUCAGUAAUGGACAAGUAUUGUUUUAGAAAGCAAAGAUGAGUUUAACUACAUUCAUAUUGUUCGUUCAUCGUUGUUAAUUUUUUUAAUGAAUUAUAAUUAUUAAUUUAUCAGCGGAUAUCGUCGACAGAACGGCUGAUGAUUGAAUCACUCUUUUGAAUCAGUUCAUUUCAAUCAGUUCUUCAUAGCGGUUUAAAACGCCAAAAAGAUCAGGAUUCAUGCAACAAAACGAGCAGUGGCGGAAUCUUUAAAAUGGAAACCAAACCUUGCAAUCGUAUCCCGUCGUUUGCGACGAAGAUGGCCUACACGUCGCAGCAUACGAACACCUCAGCACAACAGUGUGUUAAAUUAACCUGCAUCUUUGUGACAUAUAUUGGCUUGUUCAUCAGAAUCCACGUUGCGGUCUCGUAGCACGGUGGGAUUGUCAUAGACCCUUCAUAAGUGAUAAAACUUGCUGUCUCUGGAUAGACCUCCUCGAUGUUUAGCCCCGAGAGAAGAUUUUCUGAUGGCAGUGUCAUGCCAGAAACAACCUCAAUAGUCACACACAAGCUCCUUGAUCUAAUCAUUGUAUGAACUCAACAUACAACCCAACAAACCCCUUGAAGGCCAUGAAUCACGACACCAUUUUAAUUCAUUCCACCAUUCAAGCAUGCCCAGGAUUGUGGGAUGUCACAGGCAGCACACAUUACAUUCAAAACAGACCCGAUGACAAGCACUGAAUUCAGACAAGCCUUCCUUUUUGCCUUCCUACCUCUAUGUACUCAGCUGUGUGAUGCGCCAAUGCCAUGUGUCUGUUCACUGAUCACUGACUGUGCAAAGUUUAAUCAUUCACUCUUGUGUAUUUUUACCCUCUCAGGUUUCUCCCAUCUAGUAUUGCUUCACGAUGCGUUUUGUGAGUUUUGGUUCCAUUACUCUUGCUUUGAACUCUUAUCUGAUUGUGUAUCUUAGUAUUAUCUUGUGUUGGAUCUAAAUUUAGUACUGCACUUGGGUCCUUCAUCACAAGGUCACUCCCUGCACGGGAUUGUUGUAAACUCCCAGCAGGUUUUGUGGUUUCAGCAGUAAUGAGCAAAUUUUAAUGCCGUUUCUGGCACCCUGUGAAGAAAAUCAGACUAAGAUCAUAAUGCAUUUGAUUAAAUGAAUUUCUUUCCCUUCAUUAAAGGUGAAAGACGUUAUGCUGAUAAAAAAGGGAAAAAUCUCUCAUACUUCUGGCUCUGGAUGUGCCAGAGUAAAAAUGAAAAAUAAGUGCAUUGUCUAGUUUGUCAAAUUAAUUUCAACAGAAAAUUUUUAGUCAAAGCAGUGACAAGAUGCUGUUUAGUGACACCACACUUUUGAAGCCUUUUUAAACAAGUUUAUAACGUCAAAAUGAAAAAUUGCCAAAGGAGAAAAGCUUUGAGCAAAGCAAUAAAAGUCACACUAAGCCAGCCUAAAAACAACAAUCAUGAAUACUUCUGAAAAUAAGGGGCCUGUCUGUCUACUCUCUAGUUUAAUAGU